CACCAUAUUUGACCACAACGUUGUACAAGGCUGCCAAAAGUUGCCAUUCUGUCUGGCAGCGAGAGACGAGUUACGAAGUAACAAAUUAUUUAAUCGAUUCAAUGACACAGAAGGUUUUAGCUCAGCGAUUCUCAACUGGUGUGUCGAGAAGUUUUGAGUGGAUUGGCGGUGUCCGAAUUUUUUAAAUAAUAAUAAUAAUAAAUAUAUAUAUAUAUAUUAUUGUCAUUCAACAAGAGACGAAUAAUUUUACUGCACAUUUGUUUUCUUGAGAAAUACUGCACCAGAAAUACUGCAAUUAAUGACCGAUUUCUUGAGUUAUUUUAGAUUCAUUCUGGCUAUUUUGAGGAAGUGUAAACUGCCUAUGGCGUCUCAAAAUGGACAAACAGCACUAUUGCCGCUUUUUAAAAUGUAUUUAACCUGGCAAGUUAGUUAAUUACAAUGACGGCCUAUCCUGUCUAUGCUGAGCCAAUUGUGUACCUCCCUAUGGGACUCCCGAUCACAGCCAGAUGUGAUACAGCCUGGAUUCAAACCAGGGACAGUAGUGACACCUCUUGCACUGAGAUACAGUGCCUUAGACUGCCACUUGGGAGUUUUUCAAGGGAAUAUCUUUUGAGGGAGUAUGCGAGCACACUCGUCUUUAUAAAUAAAUCCAUCAGAUGUGGACACCUGCAAGAACAUGUUUGAUAUAGUGCUACAGAAGGCCGAAAAUGACAUUGAUGAGCAGUGGCUGAAUGUAUCUCACAGGAGAAAGCAUCCAGGGGAGCGAAACAGCGCCCCUCUGUCUCUCUACUUGAAGAUGGAGCAGGCACCAUGUGCCUCGGGACAAGACCUGUGACUUGCUUUGCUUUCCGGAUCAGGCCACCAUUGAAAGGAGUGAUAACUCGAAUGAUGUUAAGUGUUGAGGAGGACCAACUGAAAUGGAAGAUUCCCAGUGUCUGUGAUGCCCGCCGUUUGGAGCGACGCAGACCUGGUGUAGAGCGUGGUGAAACAGAGAAGGCGCUGUCUGUCCUGCUGAGUUCUGAUGCCGUCUUUACCCGACAAAGUCAAGUUAGCAUGUGUCAGUUAUCCCGUGAGAGCUUUUGUCCCAAACCCAUUACAGUUUGCCAAGCUUAUGCUUAUGUUGCAGCAGGGCGUUAGGAGGGAGAUUCAUAGAAGUGAUAAGUAUACGGGAGGGCAUGAGACAAAGGAAUGUGUAGUAUCGGUGGAAAAAGCUGUGAACUCUACGGGUACCCAUGGUGCUGGAGAUCAGAAGUGUCCGGCGAGAGGAAGGCAGGUCGAGGUUGCCAGGAUUAGAGUAGUAUCGACCCACGCCACGUCAGUUAAAUGAUCAAUGUGGAAUAGAUGUUGAAUUAACGUCUGUGCCCAGUGGGGAAGGUGUCGUAUGCUGAGACAGUGAAGAGAGUAGUAGAGGAAGGUGGGUCCAGGGUGAGGGAUCCUAAGAGGCUCCCUGUGAGAAGGCCCGAGGUCAAUAGAGAGUGAUAAGAGUAACAUGUGUUUCAGUGAGGUUGGCGUCUUAGCGUUUAUGGCCAUGGUUUAUCUGUACUGCGGAAAGUGAACAUAAAUCACAGAAAAUAUAUGUUGUGGUGGCAGCGUCAGAGAAGUACUUGGGUGUAAGAUGUGUUACUGCAGAGGAGUUACAAGUUGUGUUGGCUGCCGGCCUGGUGUAGGAUCAGAUAGGGUCAAGUGGUAGAAUAGUGGUGAGGUUUUAAUGGGUGUAGGGUUAGAUGGUAGGGCAACUCUUCUUCCUGACCUUUUUUACUCUUCCCUUUUGUGUCACAGUGUAACGAAUUCACACUCCAGAACAGUAGGCGGAAACACGGGGCUCGAUAAGAGAAAUAAAUGAAAAGGAAUGGCCUCAAACUCCAGCACGGUAGGUGGCGUGUAUGCACCUUUCUGCCUAUACAAAUUUAAAGAAGGAAAAAGUGUCAGCAGGCAACAAGGUGUGGACAUCAUAUCCAUCACAAAACAAGCAACAGGGUGAGUUGUAAAAACGAACGUAACGAAGAGCUUUUGGGAUUUUGCCAGUGUUUGGGAAGCUACUCUUAAAAUGUAGUUUACCACGCUACCAAUGAUUUCACACUGGAAGAAGUUAAGCUACACUAAAGCGACCCUUAAGAAAAUAUAGUUUACUCAACUAAACUUUCUUUAAAAAGGUAGUUGGCUACAUCCAAACUACUUUGUGAUGAGUCAUCAUAUCUAAAUAUUCAAUGUCAUAGACUACAAAAUUGCAACAGAUCACUUUGGAGUUAUAUGAUAACAGAAUGUGUAAUUGAGCCUAUUAACACAAAAAUGUCAGAUCUGAUGCCGACAAAGAAAGCAAAUAAUUGUCUACCUCAUCCGUAUGUUUUUUUAUUUUUGCAAAAUAAGUAGUGUGUAGUGUCCAGUAGUUACACCGCUACAUCAAAAAAGUAAUUUAUUUCUGAAAACACUACCAGGAUUUGAAUUUAGUUAAACUACCACCAAGGCACUGCAAGAUGUAGUUAAAUUACUAGUUUAGCUAUAUGUAACUAUACUCCCCAACACUGAUUUACCAUUAAAGUUUUUGCUCACUCAGGUCAGGGCUGCCAUGUGUAAAAUGCGCAACAUAGGCUGUAACAGGCAACAGACCAAAGCAAUUAGGCUAGUUAGUGUGUAACGAUUUUCUGGGGAAAAAGAGGUGGACCAAAACACAGCGUGGUUACUUGUAAACAUCUUUAAUAAAGAUGAACAAUGAACAAUCUACAAAACAAGAAAUGUGAAAAAACCGAAACAGCUCUAUCUGGUGCAACAAACAGAGACAGGAACAAUCACCCACAAAACCCAACACAAAACAGGAUACCUAAAUAUGGUUCCCAAUCAGAGACAAUGAAUAACACCUGCCUCUGAGAACCGUAUCAGGCCAAACAUAGAAAUAGACAAACCAGACACACAACAUCGAAUGCCCACCCAGCUCACGUCCUGACCAACACUAAAACAAGGAAAACACCCCCCCUAGGUGCGGACUCCGAACGCACAACCUAAACCUAUAUGGGAGGGUCUGGGUGGGCAUCUGUCCGCGGUGGCGGCUCUGGCGCUGGACCCCACUCCAUAAUUGUCUUAGUCCCCCUCCUUAGUGUCCCUUGAGUGGCGACCCACGCCGCUAACCUUGGCCUAGGAACCCUAACAACGGGCCCCACUGGACUGAGGGGCAGCUCCGGACUGAGGGGCAGCUCCGGACUGAGGGGCAGCUCCGGACUGAGGGGCAGCUCAGGCAGGUUGAUGAAUCUAGCAGAUCCUGUCUGGCUGGCGGUUCCGGCAGAUCCUGGCUGACUGGCGGUUCCGGCAGAUCCUGGCAGACUGGCGGUUCCGGCAGAUCCUGGCAGACUGGCGGUUCCGGCAGAUCCUGGCAGACUGGCGGUUCCGGCAGAUCCUGGCAGACUGGCGGUUCCGGCAGAUCCUGGCAGACUGGCGGUUCCGGCAGAUCCUGGCAGACUGGCGGUUCCGGAAGAUCCUGGCAGACUGGCGGUUCCGGCAGAUCCUGGCUGACUGGCGGUUCCGGCAGAUCCUGGCAGACUGGCGGUUCCGGCAGAUCCUGGCAGACUGGCGGUUCCGGAAGAUCCUGGCAGACUGGCGGUUCCGGCAGAUCCUGGCAGACUGGCGGUUCCGGCAGAUCCUGGCAGACUGGCGGUUCCGGCAGAUCCUGGCAGACUGGCGGUUCCGGCAGAUCCUGGCAGACUGGCGGUUCCGGCAGAUCCUGGCAGAUCCUGGCUGACUGGCGGAUCCUGGCAGACUGACGGAUCCUGGCAGACUGACGGCUCUGGCAGAUCCUGGCUGACUGGCAGACUGGCGGCACUGGCGGCUCCUGGCAGACUGGCGGCUCCUGGCAGACUGGCGGCUCCUGGCAGACUGGCGGCUACUGGCGGCACUGGCGGCUCCGGGCGGCUACUGGCGGCUACUGGCGGCUCCGGGCAGACUGGCGGCUACUGGCGGCUCCGGGCAGACUGGCGGCUACUGGCGGCUCCGGGCAGACUGGCGGCUACUGGCGGCUCCGGGCAGACUGGCGGCUACUGGCGGCUCCGGGCAGACUGGCGGCUCCGGGCAGACUGGCGGCUCCGGGCAGACU